CACUAACGCUGGCGGCGUGCCUAAUACAUGCAAGUAGAACGCUGAAGAGAGGAGCUUGCUCUUCUUGGAUGAGUUGCGAACGGGUGAGUAACGCGUAGGUAACCUGCCUUGUAGCGGGGGAUAACUAUUGGAAACGAUAGCUAAUACCGCAUAACAAUGGAUGACCCAUGUCAUUUAUUUGAAAGGGGCAAAUGCUCCACUACAAGAUGGACCUGCGUUGUAUUAGCUAGUAGGUGAGGUAACGGCUCACCUAGGCGACGAUACAUAGCCGACCUGAGAGGGUGAUCGGCCACACUGGGACUGAGACACGGCCCAGACUCCUACGGGAGGCAGCAGUAGGGAAUCUUCGGCAAUGGGGGCAACCCUGACCGAGCAACGCCGCGUGAGUGAAGAAGGUUUUCGGAUCGUAAAGCUCUGUUGUAAGUCAAGAACGAGUGUGAGAGUGGAAAGUUCACACUGUGACGGUAGCUUACCAGAAAGGGACGGCUAACUACGUGCCAGCAGCCGCGGUAAUACGUAGGUCCCGAGCGUUGUCCGGAUUUAUUGGGCGUAAAGCGAGCGCAGGCGGUUUGAUAAGUCUGAAGUUAAAGGCUGUGGCUCAACCAUAGUUCGCUUUGGAAACUGUCAAACUUGAGUGCAGAAGGGGAGAGUGGAAUUCCAUGUGUAGCGGUGAAAUGCGUAGAUAUAUGGAGGAACACCGGUGGCGAAAGCGGCUCUAUGGUCUGUAACUGACGCUGAGGCUCGAAAGCGUGGGGAGCGAACAGGAUUAGAUACCCUGGUAGUCCACGCCGUAAACGAUGAGUGCUAGGUGUUGGAUCCUUUCCGGGAUUCAGUGCCGCAGCUAACGCAUUAAGCACUCCGCCUGGGGAGUACGACCGCAAGGUUGAAACUCAAAGGAAUUGACGGGGGCCCGCACAAGCGGUGGAGCAUGUGGUUUAAUUCGAAGCAACGCGAAGAACCUUACCAGGUCUUGACAUCCCGAUGCUAUUUCUAGAGAUAGAAAGUUACUUCGGUACAUCGGUGACAGGUGGUGCAUGGUUGUCGUCAGCUCGUGUCGUGAGAUGUUGGGUUAAGUCCCGCAACGAGCGCAACCCCUAUUGUUAGUUGCCAUCAUUCAGUUGGGCACUCUAGCGAGACUGCCGGUAAUAAACCGGAGGAAGGUGGGGAUGACGUCAAAUCAUCAUGCCCCUUAUGACCUGGGCUACACACGUGCUACAAUGGUUGGUACAACGAGUUGCGAGUCGGUGACGGCAAGCUAAUCUCUUAAAGCCAAUCUCAGUUCGGAUUGUAGGCUGCAACUCGCCUACAUGAAGUCGGAAUCGCUAGUAAUCGCGGAUCAGCACGCCGCGGUGAAUACGUUCCCGGGCCU
rnacentral:rRNA from 1 species